GGUGUCCCAGAUGCGACAGAGACCAUCAUAGCUACUUGAAACUAUCAAGGAUCCAUCACGAUUAAAAUGAACGGCCGAGACUGGAUCCGAGUGAGCUGGCAAAGUCUUGAGGCACUUCCCUGUUUUCACAUCCCAUAUCCUCACGCUUUCGUCAAAGGAUCCUGAGACAAUAAGGUUGGACUGGGGAUUGAAGUUGCAGCAAAAGAC
rnacentral:misc_RNA from 1 species